rnacentral:rRNA from 1 species
UACGUAUGGAGCAAGCGUUAUCCGGAUUUACUGGGUGUAAAGGGUGCGUAGGUGGCGAGGCAAGUCAGAUGUGAAAUACCGGGGCUCAACCCCGGGGCUGCAUUUGAAACUGUCUUGCUGGAGUACAGGAGAGGCAGGCGGAAUUCCUAGUGUAGCGGUGAAAUGCGUAGAUAUUAGGAGGAACACCAGUGGCGAAGGCGGCCUGCUGGACUGUUACUGACACUGAGGCACGAAAGCGUGGGGAGCAAAC